UGCUUCAUUUGGAUAUUCCUAAUUUCUUGG
rnacentral:piRNA from 1 species